GCGUCGGUGGUGUAGUGGUAGAAUACUCGCCUGCCACGCGGGUGGCCCGGGUUCGAUUCCCGGCCGUCGCA
rnacentral:tRNA from 1 species